CGAGCGGCGGACGGGUGAGUAACGCGUAGGAAUCUGCCCAAUAGAGGGGGAUAGCCCGGGGAAACCCGGAUUAAUACCGCAUACGCCCCAAGGGGGAAAGCAGGGGAUCUUCGGACCUUGCACUAUUGGAUGAGCCUGCGUUGGAUUAGCUAGUUGGUAGGGUAAAGGCCUACCAAGGCGACGAUCCAUAACUGGUCUGAGAGGAUGAUCAGUCACACUGGAACUGAGACACGGUCCAGACUCC
rnacentral:rRNA from 1 species